rnacentral:rRNA from 1 species
GUUAUAUGGUCAAGCGAAUAAGCGCACACGGUGGAUGCCUAGGCGGUCAGAGGCGAUGAAGGACGUGGUAGCCUGCGAAAAGUGUCGGGGAGCUGGCAACAAGCUUUGAUCCGGCAAUGUCCGAAUGGGGAAACCCACUGCUUCGGCAGUAUCCUGCAGUGAAUUCAUAGCUGCUGGAAGCGAACCCGGUGAACUGAAAUAUCUAAGUAACCGGAGGAAAAGAAAUCAACCGAGAUUCCCUGAGUAGUGACGAGCGAACGGGGAACAGCCCUUAAGCUGGAAUGGCUUUAGAAAAACAAUCUGGAAAGAUUGGCCAUAGAAGGUGAUAGCCCUGUAUUUAAAAGGGCCACUCCAGUGAAGACGAGUAGGGCGGGGCACGUGAAACCCUGUCUGAAUAUGGGGGGACCAUCCUCCAAGGCUAAAUACUCCUGACCGACCGAUAGUGAACCAGUACCGUGAGGGAAAGGCGAAAAGAACCCCGGAGAGGGGAGUGAAAUAGAUCCUGAAACCGUGUGCGUACAAGCAGUAGGAGCUCGCAAGAGUGACUGCGUACCUUUUGUAUAAUGGGUCAGCGACUUACUGUUCGUGGCAAGCUUAACCGUAUAGGGGAGGCGAAGGGAAACCGAGUCUGAUAAGGGCGCAUAGUCGCGGGCAGUAGACCCGAAACCGGGUGAUCUAGUCAUGGCCAGGGUGAAGGUGCCGUAACAGGUACUGGAGGCCCGAACCCACGUCUGUUGCAAAAGACGGGGAUGAGCUGUGAUUAGGAGUGAAAAGCUAAUCGAACCCGGAGAUAGCUGGUUCUCCUCGAAAGCUAUUUAGGUAGCGCCUCGGACGAAUACUACUGGGGGUAGAGCACUGUUAUGGCUAGGGGGUCAUCGCGACUUACCAAACCAUUGCAAACUCCGAAUACCAGUACGUACUAUCCGGGAGACACACGGCGGGUGCUAACGUCCGUCGUGAAAAGGGAAACAACCCAGACCCACAGCUAAGGUCCCAAAUUCACUGCUAAGUGGAAAACGAUGUGGAAAGGCACAGACAGCCAGGAGGUUGGCUUAGAAGCAGCCACCCUUUAAAGAAAGCGUAAUAGCUCACUGGUCGAGUCGGUCUGCGCGGAAGAUUUAACGGGGCUAAGCAGUGAACCGAAGCUUGGGGUGCGUAAAACUUCGGUUUUAUGCGCGGUAGAGGAGCGUUCCGUAAGCCUGCGAAGGUGGAUUGAGAAGUCUGCUGGAGGUAUCGGAAGUGCGAAUGCUGACAUGAGUAACGAUAAUGCGGGUGAAAAGCCCGCACGCCGAAAGCCCAAGGUUUCCUUGCGCAACGUUAAUCGACGCAGGGUUAGUCGGUCCCUAAGGCGAGGGCGAAAGCCGUAGUCGAUGGGAAGCAGGUUAAUAUUCCUGCACCUCGCGUGAGUGCGAUGGAGGGACGGAGAAGGUUAGGUGUACCGGGCGUUGGUUGUCCCGGGGAAAGGCGGUAGGUUUGAAUCUUUGGCAAAUCCGGGAUUCUUUAAGACCGAGCACCGAGACGAGCCUUUAUGGCGAAGUCACUGAUACCACGCUUCCAGGAAAAGCUCCUAAGCUUCAGCUCACGAAGACCGUACCGUAAACCGACACAGGUGGGUAGGAUGAGAAUUCUCAGGCGCUUGAGAGAACUCGGGUGAAGGAACUAGGCAACAUGGCACCGUAACUUCGGGAGAAGGUGCACCCUUUUUGGUGGCUCAUGCGAGCUAUAGCUGAAGAGGGUCGCAGAAACCAGGCCGCUGCGACUGUUUAUCAAAAACACAGCACUCUGCAAACACGAAAGUGGACGUAUAGGGUGUGACGCCUGCCCGGUGCUGGAAGGUUAAUUGAUGGGGUCAGCCGCAAGGCGAAGCUCUUGAUCGAAGCCCCAGUAAACGGCGGCCGUAACUAUAACGGUCCUAAGGUAGCGAAAUUCCUUGUCGGGUAAGUUCCGACCUGCACGAAUGGCGUAACGACAGCGGCGCUGUCUCCACCCGAGACUCAGUGAAAUUGAAAUCGCUGUGAAGAUGCAGCGUUCCCGUGGCAAGACGGAAAGACCCCGUGAACCUUUACUAUAGCUUUACACUGAACGUUGAGUUCGUCUGUGUAGGAUAGGUGGGAGGCUAUGAAACUGUGGCGCUAGCUGCAGUGGAGCCAUCCUUGAAAUACCACCCUGUCGUGCUUGACGUUCUAACCUAGAUCCGUUACCCGGAUCAGGGACCGUGUAUGGUGGGUAGUUUGACUGGGGCGGUCUCCUCCUAAAGAGUAACGGAGGAGCACGAAGGUACGCUCAGCGCGGUCGGACAUCGCGCACUGUGUGCAAAGGCAUAAGCGUGCUUGACUGCAAGAUCGACGGAUCAAGCAGGUACGAAAGUAGGUCUUAGUGAUCCGGUGGUUCUGUAUGGAAGGGCCAUCGCUCAACGGAUAAAAGGUACUCCGGGGAUAACAGGCUGAUACCGCCCAAGAGUUCAUAUCGACGGCGGUGUUUGGCACCUCGAUGUCGGCUCAUCACAUCCUGGGGCUGUAGUCGGUCCCAAGGGUAUGGCUGUUCGCCAUUUAAAGUGGUACGCGAGCUGGGUUCAGAACGUCGUGAGACAGUUCGGUCCCUAUCUGCCAUGGGCGUUGGAAGUUUGAGAGGGGCUGCUCCUAGUACGAGAGGACCGGAGUGGACGAACCUCUGGUGUUCCGGUUGUCACGCCAGUGGCAUUGCCGGGUAGCUAUGUUCGGAAGCGAUAACCGCUGAAAGCAUCUAAGCGGGAAGCGCGCCUCAAGAUGAGACUUCCCGGGGCACAAGCCCCCUAAAGGAACCAUGUAGACUACGUGGUUGAUAGGUCAGGUGUGUAAGUACAGCAAUGUAUUGAGCUAACUGAUACUAAUGAUCCGUGCGGCUUGACCAUAUAACCU